CCUCAAAUCAGGUAGGACUACCCGCUGAACUUAAGCAUAUCAAUAAGCGGAGGAAAAGAAACUAACAAGGAUUCCCCUAGUAACUGCGAGUGAAGCGGGAAAAGCUCAAAUUUGAAAUCUGGCGGUUUCUGCCGUCCGAGUUGUAUUCUGGAGAAGCGUUUUCCGUGCUGGACCGUGUACAAGUGCCUUGGAACAGGCCGUCAUAGAGGGUGAGAAUCCCGUCUUUGACACGGACUGCCAGUGCUCUGUGAUGCGCUCUCGAAGAGUCGAGUUGUUUGGGAAUGCAGCUCAAAAUGGGUGGUAAAUUCCAUCUAAAGCUAAAUAUUGGCGAGAGACCGAUAGCGAACAAGUACCGUGAGGGAAAGACGAAAAGCACUUUGGAAAGAGAGUAAAACAGUACGUGAAAUUGUUGAAAGGGAGACGCUUGAAGUCAGUCGCGUCUUCUGGAACUCAGCCUUGCUUCUGCUUGGUGCACUUUCCAGUCUGACGGGCCAGCAUCGGUUUUGGCGGGGCAGACAAAGGCGGGGGGAAGGUGGCCGCUCCGGCGGUGUUAUAGCCCCCCGUUGCAUGUGUCCCCUGGGACCGAGGAAUCCGGCGCAAGCCUGGGAUGCUGGCGUAAU
rnacentral:rRNA from 1 species